CCUACGGGUGGCAGCAGUGAGGAAUAUUGGUCAAUGGACGAGAGUCUGAACCAGCCAAGUAGCGUGAAGGAUGACUGCCCUAUGGGUUGUAAACUUCUUUUAUAAAGGAAUAAAACGAGGCACGUGUGCCUUUUUGCAUGUACUUUAUGAAUAAGGAUCGGCUAACUCCGUGCCAGCAGCCGCGGUAAUACGGAGGAUCCGAGCGUUAUCCGGAUUUAUUGGGUUUAAAGGGAGCGUAGAUGGGUUGUUAAGUCAGUUGUGAAAGUUUGCGGCUCAACCGUAAAAUUGCAAUUGAUACUGGCAGUCGUGAGUACAGUUGAGGUAAGCGGAAUUCGUGAUGUAGCGGUGAAAUGCUUAGAUAUCACGAAGAACCCCGAUUGCGAAGGCAGCUUACUAAACUGUGACUGACAUUGAUGCUCGAAAGUGUGGGUAUCAAACAGGAUUAGAUACCCCAGUAGUC
rnacentral:rRNA from 1 species